UGCAAUCUACCUUUUACAGAGGGAUAGCCCAGAGAAAUUUGGAUUAAUACCUCAUAGUAUAUAGCCCUGGCAUCAGGAUUAUAUUAAAGUCACAACGGUAAAAGAUGAGCAUGCGUCCCAUUAGCUAGUUGGUAAGGUAACGGCUUACCAAGGCUACGAUGGGUAGGGGUCCUGAGAGGGAGAUCCCCCACACUGGUACUGAGACACGGACCAGACUCCUACGGGAGGCAGCAGUGAGGAAUAUUGGACAAUGGGCGCAAGCCUGAUCCAGCCAUGCCGCGUGCAGGAUGACGGUCCUAUGGAUUGUAAACUGCUUUUAUACGAGAAGAAACACUCCUUCGUGAAGGAGCUUGACGGUAUCGUAAGAAUAAGGAUCGGCUAACUCCGUGCCAGCAGCCGCGGUAAUACGGAGGAUCCAAGCGUUAUCCGGAAUCAUUGGGUUUAAAGGGUCCGUAGGCGGUUUAAUAAGUCAGUGGUGAAAGCCCAUCGCUCAACGGUGGAACGGCCAUUGAUACUGUUAGACUUGAAUUAUUAGGAAGUAACUAGAAUAUGUAGUGUAGCGGUGAAAUGCUUAGAGAUUACAUGGAAUACCAAUUGCGAAGGCAGGUUACUACUAAUUGAUUGACGCUGAUGGACGAAAGCGUGGGUAGCGAACAGGAUUAGA
rnacentral:rRNA from 1 species